rnacentral:rRNA from 1 species
CAGUCGCCACGGGAAUACGUAGGUGGCAAGCGUUGUCCGGAAUUAUUGGGCGUAAAGGGCUCGCAGGCGGUUUCUUAAGUCUGAUGUGAAAGCCCCCGGCUCAACCGGGGAGGGUCAUUGGAAACUGGGAAACUUGAGUGCAGAAGAGGAGAGUGGGAUUCCACGUGUAGCGGUGAAAUGCGUAGAGAUGUGGAGGAACACCAGUGGCGGAGGCGACUCUCUGGUCUGUAACUGACGCUGAGGAGCGAAAGCGUGGGGAGCGAACAGGAUUAGAUACCCCUGUAGUCCCUGUCUCUUAUAC